rnacentral:rRNA from 1 species
GACGAACGCUGGCGGCGUGCUUAACACAUGCAAGUCGAACGGAAAGGCCCUGCUUUUGUGGGGUGCUCGAGUGGCGAACGGGUGAGUAAAACGUGAGUAACCUGCCCUUGACUUUGGGAUAAAUUCAGGAAAAUGGGGCUAAUACCGGAUAGGAGCUCCUGCUGCAUGGUGGGGGUUGGAAAGUUUCGGCGGUUGGGGAUGGACUCGCGGCUUAUCAGCUUGUUGGUGGGGUAGUGGCUUACCAAGGCUUUGACGGGUAGCCGGCCUGGGAGGGUGACCGGCCACAAUAGUACUAAGGGACGGAGCAGUCGCCAACGGGACGCAGCAGGCGGGAAUAUUGCAGAGUAGGCGGGAGCCUGAGACGACGGCGCCGCGUGCGUGAUGACGGGCUUCUAGGUGUAAACCUCUGUCGCCUGAGACGAGGCGUGAUUGACGGUAAUUAAUAAGAAAGCACCGGCUAACUACGUG